AAAUAGUGAGUCCGCGGUAAGUGAAUUACAAAGUAAUGAGGGUACACUUUAUAUCUGUUUUAUUGACUAUUCUAAAGUCUUUGACUGUGUGGAUCAAAAUAAAUUCUGGCAAGUCCUUCGUGGUAUGGGAAUAUCAAGUCACCUUGUCUGUCUCCAGAAGAAUCUGUAUAACAACCAAGUAGCAACAAUAAGAACAGGCCACGGAUCAACAGACAGGUUCAAGAUUGGGAAAGGAGUACAGCAGGGCUGUAUACUCUCAGCUGACCUAUUCAACUUGUAUGCAGAACCCAUCAUGCGACAUGAGGGGCUUGAUGAAUCCAAGGCGGGAGUUAAAAUUGCUGAAAGAAAUAUUAACAAACUUAGAUAUGCAGAUGAUGCCACUUUGAUGGCUGAAAGCGAGGAGGAGCUAAGGAGCUUUAUAACAAAGGUGAAAGAAAAAAGUGCAAAAGCUGGGUUGUAGUUAAACAUGAAAAAAAAAACCCAAGAUUAUGGCAACCAGACUGAUUGAUAACUGGAAAAUAGAGGGAGAAAACCUGGAGGCAGUGACAAACUUUGUAUUUCUAGGUGCAAAGAUUACUGCAGAUGCCAGACUGCAGGCAAGAAAUUUACUUCUUGGGAGGAGAACAAUGUUCUUGGGAGGAGAACAAUGACCAAUCUUGAUAAAAUAGUGAAGAGUAGACAUCACACUGGCAACGAAGAACCCUGAUCUGCAGACAAUCCUGCUCUUGAACAGCACAAAUAAAGAUGGGUGCAACAAAGGACAACAGACGCUUCUAGGAAGCUCAAGCGGAAGGAAAAGAGAACAGGAACCCAGUAAAAGGAAAAGUAAAGUGUAUGUUUUUUUCACAGGUAUGCAGGAUAGUAGAAACCAAAAGUCGUACUGACCAUUCCCCUUUCACAUAAAAGUUUAACAGUAAUUGGUCAUGUGAUGGAGGAACGUCGAUUAACAACUACAUUUCAAGCUUAAAAUAAAGAAGCUUAUUGCAUACCUCAACGAGCAUGGAAAGAAUAUACAGGCAGUCCCCAAGUUAUG